CAGAUAACUCAGCCUACUUAAAGCCCACCAGAAAGUCAGUGAACAAAUCUCCCAACCCACUCACCCACCAUCAACCCAUAAACUCACCAGUAAGUAUAAUAGGAGUUCAGUGAAGGGAUAGAUGAGUGUGGGCUGCAGUCUUCAGGGAAGGCUUCUCAUCAUGUCAGUGCUGCCGUGUUUAUCCAGUGCAUGACGGGAAAUGGAAUAUGAAAUAGAAGAUGGAUUAUGAGCAGAAUAAUGGUGCUGAACUGUGGUAUCUCUUCUCAGGCUGGAUGAACACAGAAAGAGAAAGAGUCCUUUGAAAGGUAGCAUUCUCCAU
rnacentral:lncRNA from 10 species